GGCGAACGCUGGCGGCGUGCUUAACACAUGCAAAUCGAACGGAAAGGCCCUGCUUUUGUUGGUUGCUCGAGUGGCGAACGCGUGAGUAACACGUGAGUAACCUGCCCUUGCCUUUGGGAUAACUUCAGGAAACUGGGGCUCAUACCGGAUAGGAUCUCCUGCUGCAUGGUGGGGGUUGGAAAGUUUCGGCGGUUGGGGAUGGACUCGCGGCUUAUCAGCUUGUUGGUGGGGUAGUGGCUUACCAAGGCUUUGACGGGUAGCCGGCCUGAGAGGGUGACCGGGCACAUUGGGACUGAGAGACGGCCCAGUCGUCUAUGGGAGGCAGUAGUGGGGAAUAUUGCAGAAUGGGCGGAAGCCGGACGCAGCAACGCCGCGUGCGGGAAGACGGCUUUCGGGUUGGAAACCGCUUUCGCCUGUGACGAAGCGUGAGUGACGGUAAUGGGUAAAGAAGCACCGGCUAACUACGUG
rnacentral:rRNA from 1 species